GGGGACCCCUCACGUGGCGAUAUCUCGCCCAACUCCCCCAGGGCAGAAAUGCAGCAAGGGUAAGCGGGCUCUGUUGGGUGCGUGGGGGGUCCUUUCG
rnacentral:SRP_RNA from 1 species